UACGAAGGGGGCUAGCGUUGCUCGGAAUUACUGGGCGUAAAGCGCACGUAGGCGGCUCUUUAAGUCGGGGGUGAAAUCCUGGAGCUCAACUCCAGAACUGCCUUCGAUACUGUAGAGCUUGAGUUCGGGAGAGGUGAGUGGAACUGCGAGUGUAGAGGUGAAAUUCGUAGAUAUUCGCAAGAGCACCAGUGGCGAAGGCGGCUCACUGGCCCGAUACUGACGCUGAGGUGCGAAAGCGUGGGGAGCAAACAGG
rnacentral:rRNA from 1 species